rnacentral:rRNA from 1 species
UACGUAGGGAGCGAGCGUUGUCCGGAAUUACUGGGCGUAAAGAGCUCGUAGGCGGUUUGUCGCGUUGUUCGUGAAAACUCACAACUCAAUUGUGGGCGUGCGGGCGAUACGGGCAGACUGGAGUACUGCAGGGGAGACUGGAAUUCCUGGCGUAGCGGUGGAAUGCGCAGAUAUCAGGAGGAACACCGGUGGCGAAGGCGGGUCUCUGGGCAGUAACUGACGCUGAGGAGCGAAAGCGUGGGGAGCGAACAGG